CGUUGCUGGUCUUCGGAUCUAGCUCGUUCGUAAUAAAUUAGCAUCUCUAAUUCGAACUCGGAUUGACUCAGUGUAAUAGACUAUUCGCUGAGGACACGCUCUUGUAGUGUGGCCGAAUGAGAUCUCAGUAGAAGCUUCCAACUACUUUAGUCAACUUUAGAUUAGACCUCAGAUCAGGCAGGAUUACCCGCUGAACUUAA
rnacentral:misc_RNA from 1 species